rnacentral:rRNA from 1 species
AUUGAACGCUGGCGGCAUGCCUUACACAUGCAAGUCGAACGGUAACGCGGGGCAACCUGGCGACGAGUGGCGAACGGGUGAGUAAUGCAUCGGAACGUGCCCAGUAGUGGGGGAUAGCCCGGCGAAAGCCGGAUUAAUACCGCAUACGACCUACGGGUGAAAGCGGGGGAUCGCAAGACCUCGCGCUAUUGGAGCGGCCGAUGUCAGAUUCGGUAGUUGGUGGGGUAAAGGCCUACCAAGCCUUCGAUCUGUAGCUGGUCUGAGAGGACGACCAGCCGCACUGGGACUGAGACACGGCCAAGACUCCUACGGGAGGCAGCAGUGGGGAGGUUUGGACAAUGGGCGCAAGCCUGAUCCAGCCAUGCCGCGUGCGGGAAGAAGGCCUUCGGGUUGUAAACCGCUUUUGUCAGGGAAGAAACGCUCUGGGCUAAUACCUCAGGGUAAUGACGGUACCUGAAGAAUAAGCACCGGCUAACUACGUGCCAGCCGCCGCGGUAAGAC